rnacentral:rRNA from 1 species
UACGUAGGGGGCGAGCGUUGUCCGGAGUUACUGGGCGUAAAGGGCACGCAGGCGGUGCUGCGCGUUUCGCGUGACAGCGGGUGGCUUAACUGCCCGAGGAUGCGAAAGACGGCAGGACUUGAGGGCCAGAGAGGGACACGGAAUUCCGGGUGGAGUGGUGAAAUGCGUAGAGAUCCGGAGGAACACCGAAGGCGAAGGCAGUGUCCUGGCUCUGUCCUGACGCUCAGGGGCGAAAGCGUGGGGAGCAAACAGG